UAAUGAAGGAAUCAUAGUAACAUGCACAUAAAUUAAAUUUAAUCUCUAGACCUGCCUUCUCUGAUGCCAUUUGGCUUUAUUUUGGAGCAUGGUUCCGCAGCAAAACA